ensembl:lncRNA
CCAAAAGCAAAUGCAUGAUUUGGGGGAUAAAUGGGGGAUUUUCCAAGAGAAAGUGCACGACUUUCUGGUUAAAUGGUGGAUUUUCGAAGAGAAAAUGUGUGAUUUUGGUUGACAUGUGAGCUUUUUGUCGAGGAAAUGAGUGAUUUUCAGGUUAAAUGGGGGAUUCUUGUAGCGAAAGCGUUUGAUUUGGGGGUUAAAUGGGGGAUUUUUGAAGAGAAAAAGCGUGAUUUUCAAGUUAAAAGGGUGAUUUUCCAAGAGAAAAUGCGUGAUUUUUGGGAUUAAUGGGGGAUUCUCGAAGAGAAAAUGCGUGAUUUUGGGGUUAAAUGGGGUAUUUUUUCCAAGAGAAACUGUAUGAUUUUCGGGUUAAAUGGGG